AGCUCCAAUAGCGCAUAUUUAAGUUGUUGCGGUUAAAAAGCUCGUAGUCGUACUUCGGGCGUGCCCGCUGGUCCGUUCUUCGAGAAUGUGUAUCGGUGCGGUGCGUCUUGUUGCACGAAAUGCGCUCCUGGGCUUCACUGCUCGGGACGUGGGUCGUGCGUUGUCACUUUGAGUAAAUUAGAGUGUUUAAAGCAGGCGUGCGCUCUGCAUAUGUCAGCAUGGGAUGACACGAUAGGACCUCGGUCCGUGCGUCGGUCUGCGGGUCCGAGGUAAUGAUCGAUAGAGACUUCUUGGAUUUACGAAAGAGCAUCAAAUGCGAAAGCAUUCGCCAAGGGCGUCCUCG
rnacentral:rRNA from 1 species